rnacentral:rRNA from 1 species
CCGUAGGUGAACCUGCGGAGGGAUCAUUACCGAGUUUACAACUCCCAAACCCAAUGUGAACGUUACCAAACUGUUGCCUCGGCGGGAUCUCUGCCCCGGGUGCGUCGCAGCCCCGGACCAAGGCGCCCGCCGGAGGACCAACCAAAACUCUUUUUGUAUACCCCCUCGCGGGUUUUUUUAUAAUCUGAGCCUUCUCGGCGCCUCUCGUAGGCGUUUCGAAAAUGAAUCAAAACUUUCAACAACGGAUCUCUUGGUUCUGGCAUCGAUGAAGAACGCAGCGAAAUGCGAUAAGUAAUGUGAAUUGCAGAAUUCAGUGAAUCAUCGAAUCUUUGAACGCACAUUGCGCCCGCCAGUAUUCUGGCGGGCAUGCCUGUCCGAGCGUCAUUUCAACCCUCGAACCCCUCCGGGGGGUCGGCGUUGGGGAUCGGCCCUGCCUCUUGGCGGUGGCCGUCUCCGAAAUACAGUGGCGGUCUCGCCGCAGCCUCUCCUGCGCAGUAGUUUGCACACUCGCAUCGGGAGCGCGGCGCGUCCACAGCCGUUAAACACCCAACUUCUGAAAUGUUGACCUCGGAUCAGGUAGGAAUACCCGCUGAACUUAAGCAUAUCAAUAA